rnacentral:rRNA from 1 species
UACAGAGGGUGCGAGCGUUAAUCGGAAUUACUGGGCGUAAAGCGUGCGUAGACGGUUUCGUAAGUCGGGUGUGAAAUCCCCGGGCUCAACCUGGGAAUUGCAUUCGAAACUGCGAGGCUAGGGUACGGAAGAGGGAAGCGGAAUUUCUGGUGUAGCGGUGAAAUGCGUAGAUAUCAGAAGGAACAUCAGUGGCGAAAGCGGCUUCCUGGUCCAGUACCAACGUUCAGGCACGAAAGCGUGGGGAGCAAACAGG